GAUCCGUUGUGUUACGCAUCCACAGUUGCGGACCAAUGCGUCGUUAGCUUUAUACUUUCCAAGCUUCGGGUAUGUAGACGGUGAGUCGACGUAGUAAAAGUAUUGCUAAUCCCUGGUGUGUAGGUUUUGGCCCUGUUUUUCAUAUUCACGGAAAAUCCCCCCAGCAGGAGAUCGUGACAUGUUAAAGGAUCUGGGAACUGGGAUCAAGGAGCGAGGACGACGUUACAUAGAACUUAGAGGAGGAAUAGCUACCACGCAGCACUUUCUGUGAUGGGGUUUCGUUGUGCACAGUACAAAGGUGCGAGACUAGUUGCGGUUCUGUACGUGCGGAGAAACCGAGCCGUCAAGUGAUAUGUCCCAAGUUGUGCGUGAGUGUGCGCACAAGAUUCUGUUACCGUAGGGAGUGACCACAUUUCAAUUUUCUCGCAUACUAUGAAGGGAGCGACUGGACCCUUCAUACAAGGUUGCUACGCCCACCUUUGUCUUCGACGCUGAGGCCGAAACUGUUACGAUCCCAUCGCUUUGGCUUUACAUGCGAGGAUGAACAGGUCGUAGAAUAAGCAUGUAUAAUAUGAACCCUGGUCUGAGUUGUCGGAAUUUGACCUCGGAUUUAGCACGACCCCCUAGGAACAGUGGGAGGAUCGUGCCAUCUCGCAUUGAUUUAUUAAAGAAUAGUUGAACAUAGACUGACUCGCUUAAAUCCAGCUUCGGAGCUUCCCUGUUUAUUAUGACAUGGUUAAACCCAUACCUCUCCAGCUGGAGACCGUGUGUGCGAAUCGCAUCACUGGUGGCCUAUUGCUUGCUGAAUUGUCAUUGAUGUGAUUCCGCUACAUUUUGAGGUGCUGAGAUUGAGACAUAACGCGCUUUCGGCUUCUCUUUUCAAUACUUCGCAUGCUUUCCUGUUUUGAGUUUGGCGAAGAGAUAGCACAUCUCCUGUAGAGUUGCUCUGCUGGGGAUGAUUAUUAUGUUUUUUCAAAUCUUGAGAGGAACCAUUGCACCCGCGUUGUAAUCUUGUACUAAACGCUCUGCAUUACGUUUGAGAGUGAAGAUUAGGAAGGAUUUAUUAACCAUAGCAUCCCCACAUGGAGAUCACGAUUUAAAGCCCGAAAGGCCUGGAGCUAACAUGAAGAGGCAGUGACCAAGAUGGAGAUGAUGGGAUGUUGGGCAUGCUCAACACGAUCUGUCAACAUUCUAGAGUAUAUUGACGGGUCGUGAUGGGCACUCUCAAUGUCCACUUCAUGGUUUUGUGACGUGACCCAGCUUGUGAAAUUGAUGACGAUGGAGGCCUUCUCCAGCAUUAACCUCCAUCUUCCGGUGCAACUACCCAGAGUCGGUAAUUCUUGGCCUUGCUUGUGAAGUCUUGCAUCCAUGUGAACUCUGUGACAAGUUGCAGGUAGCCCUAAGCGUUACCGAUGCGGAACUACUUUACUAAGUUCAUCACCCUGUUGAGGGUCUUACUUACAAGUUAGCUUGUGAAGGCUAAUCAACACAACUGACUGGUUGAGAAGGGUGGAAUAAGACGGGUUUAGGGAUUUUGCAUUUUCGUCAAAACCAUAGAGGAUGUCCUCUUUUUCAUGUUUUUUCAUUUUUCUCAAAGGCCAUGAUAGACUAUUUGAGCAAACAUUUUCUCCACCAACAAACAGUCUCUGUGUCUUAAGUGGCCCUCCUGAAGCGGUGGUAGCAGUUUGUAUGCACAGGAAUGACUUCACAGGAAGCCUUGAACUGGCUCAGUUUUCUCCCUGCAUUAACAACUGAUGGAUACAGAGAUGAGCUCCAGCACCUGUUGUUCAUUGUAUCUAGGCUGGUCUAUGGAAUUGUUUCUACAUAGCUUAGUGAACUCCUAACAGAAUCUACUCUCUUAGCUUUAUUGAACUCUACUGGGUUCCAAAACGGAAUCUGAGCUGUUUGACCUUUCAACUAUUUGAUGUACUAAAUUUUUUUUCUCAGGAGGAAGUUGUGGUGGAUGAGUUUCGAA